GACGAACGCUGGCGGCGUGCCUAAUACAUGCAAGUCGAACGGUCUUUUCUAUGGAAGCUUGCUUCCACUGAGAAGAUAGUGGCGAACGGGUGAGUAACACGUGGGUAACCUGCCCAUAAGAGGGGGAUAACAUCCGGAAACGGGUGCUAAUACCGCAUAGUUUUCUUGAUCGCAUGAUCGGGAAAGGAAAGACGGCCUUUGUGCUGUCGCUUAUGGAUGGACCCGCGGCGUAUUAGUUAGUUGGUGAGGUAAUGGCUCACCAAGACGAUGAUACGUAGCCGACCUGGGAGGGUGAUCGGCCACAUUGGGACUGAGACACGGCCCAAACUCCUACGGGAGGCAGCAGUAGGGAAUCUUCCGCAAUGGACGAAAGUCUGACGGAGCAACGCCGCGUGAGUGAAGAAGGUUUUCGGAUCGUAAAACUCUGUUGUCAGAGAAGAACAAGUUGGAGAGUAACUGCUCCAGCCUUGACGGUAUCUGACCAGAAAGCCACGGCUAACUACGUGCCAGCCGCCGCAGUAAGAC
rnacentral:rRNA from 1 species